rnacentral:lncRNA from 1 species
GGCUAAAAGACUCAAAAUCCAAUCAAAGACUAUCUAGGUCAUAUCUGACUCGACACGCAACAAAAUAAGAGUUAACUAAAUAGAUAAUAUGAAUAAAUUGAAAAGAUGUGACCAACAUGCAAUAGCAGUAUAUAAACCAUCAACAAGCAAGCACUCCUCUCAAACAGUCAUCUACUCCUUCAGCUGCUGUUCACUCUUCGACCUCUUCUUGAACUCAACC